rnacentral:rRNA from 1 species
UACGUAGGGGGCAAGCGUUGUCCGGAAUUAUUGGGCGUAAAGAGCGUGUAGGCGGUCCGGUAAGUCGGUUGUGAAAGUCCAGGGCUCAACCCUGGGAUGCCGAUCGAUACUGCCGGACUAGAGUCCGGAAGAGGCGAGUGGAAUUCCCGGUGUAGCGGUGAAAUGCGCAGAUAUCGGGAGGAACACCAAUGGCGAAGGCAGCUCGCUGGGACGGUACUGACACUGAGGCGCGAAAGCGUGGGGAGCGAACAGG